GUAUUACUUGCUUUGGCAACACACACACUAACACUGGAGUGAUACAGAGAAGAAUAGUAUGACCACCUCACAAGGAUGACACCUUGAUCAGCUGUUGUGAAGAAAAAUAUC